UUGAUUUAUGGUAAUGACAUAUAAGUAAACAUUAGAACACAGUGCUGUAGUGUUAUUCGUACACACUUUGUGGCUUUCAAUCUUGGAAGUUUGAAAAAUAUUAUCAUAUGUAGAGAACUUAGCUGGUGGAGAGAAGUGGGCGGUUGGAAGGCUGUCCCUUUAACAAAAACAGUAGCAUCAACAGCUACAACAACAGCAGCAAAAUAACUCAAAUGACCUCAACAACAGCAAUAAAACUAACUUUGACAGCAGUUGAAGUGUCCUGAACAUUGUCAAUGUCCACAGUGUGUGAAUUACAUCAGUUAUUGUGUGUCACUGAGAAAACAUUCAGCUUAUAUGAUUCGAGAUGCUUUACUGUGGAAGUGAUGGAUGCAGUACAUGUAUUUAUGCUUACUAUAUGUAUAUCACAAGUGAUAGGGUGACUGUAUGUAUAUAAUAGUGAUAAAAAAGUCUUAGCACAUGGUUGUAGCCUUAUUCAAAUACACAGUUUGUGUUGGAUUACAUGAUGUCAUUGGGCUGUUUAUGGUUUGAAAUGAAGCUGAUCAUUAUUUCAGAUUUUAUCAGCAUGGAAUACCAGUUUCAAGACUGCGACAUUAUCUUAUCAGCUUCGAAUUACGGAAGGAUUGAAUCCAACUCAGUGUAGAUCCUGCAUCAUUUAUGCUACAUAUCAUCUAUAAUCAGCAACAAAAACAGUUAAAAUACUAUAAUAGCUUUGGAUCAUUGAGCUUGAAGGCAUUAAAUUAAAAUAAAUCAUUUUAAUCAAAAAAACAUUAGAUGCUAUUGGCUAAAAGGAAAGAAUUUGUGUGCAUAAUUUGCAUAUUUUAAACAAGAAAUGUGUGACAAUGGAUUGAGAUUGAUUGACAUGACUGCUUUGUUGGAGACAUGUUUUAUAAUUAUCUGUCUGUCGUUUAUACGGCUUGAUUGUGCAGCAAACAGCUCAGUAAGAACAUUAUGCAGACUGCACCGUGCUAAAUAGAUCACGCUCCUCAUUCAUGUGAUUAUGGACUUAAAAGUUGUGUUAAAAUUAUGUAAAAGUGUGGGUUAUAUUAAGUAAAAAUUGGGUUUAAAUGAAGUUAAAGUAACUUAAAAGUCAGGUUUUAACUAAAGAUAGUGGAGUACUUAUGGUGGUACUGUUGAAUCAUUAUUUAUAUGUUUGAUUGUACACAAAACAAAUAGGAAUGCGUAUGCCAAGAAUGCGAAGGGUGUUACGCUGGCUGUUGAUGGUGGUGUUGUUGACGUUUGUAAUUCUCAACUUACAUGUUCUGGUAAACUUUGAGCCCGACUUCUCAGGAAGUCCAUACCACGAGAUAGGAAAUCACGGAGCCGUGGAACAUAAGCACAUCCAAAGUCGAGAUAGUGUCAAAACCAGCCUGGACAUUAAGUCAGAAGAAAACGAUACCUCACAGUUCAUAAUAAAACCGAAUACAUUCCGCAAUCGAACUGAAAAUUACCAUAUGCUCAAUAAUUCACAGAAUUUGACUGAAAUCUAUGAAGAGAUAUUACGAAUCAAUUCGGAACAAAAGAUUCGCAACUUGUAUCGUUAUGGACUUAAAUUAGACCAAGAGAGCGUGGUAAUGGUGAUACAAGUUCAUGAUAGACUCGAGUAUCUGCGAAUACUUAUCGAGUCCUUGAGGGAAGUGCGGGGGAUUGAGAAGACCCUGCUCAUCAUUAGUCACGACGUAUACUCAGAUGGUCUAAAUCAACUUGUGAAAGAAGUGGACUUUUGUCCGGUGCUGCAGAUAUUUUUCCCGCAUUCCCUUCAGCUUCACCCAGACUCCUUCCCAGGUGAAGACCCUAAUGACUGUCCAAGAGACAUAAAAAAAGGAGAAGCAGUGAAGAAGAAAUGUAAAAAUGCUGCCUUUCCAGACAAAUAUGGUCAUUAUCGUGAGGCGAAAUACUGCCAGACCAAGCACCACUGGUUAUGGAAGCUGCACCAUGUGUAUGACAAUGUCAGUGUUAUGCGGGGCUACAAGGGACUGAUACUAUUACUGGAGGAGGACUACUACGUCACACCCGAUAUCAUUCCUGUCCUACAGAUGAUGCAGAACCUUAGGAAGAAGGACUGUAAGGACUGUAAAAUAUUAGCUGCAGGGAAUUAUGACAAAAAUCAAAAUUUUGGGACCAAUGCUGGCCAGGUGGAGGUCGCCAAUUGGAUCUCAUCCCGGCACAACAUGGGCAUGGCCUUCAACAGCGACCUUUGGGAAGAAAUCAAAAGAUGUGCAAAGGAGUUUUGUAACUUUGACGACUACAACUGGGACUGGACACUGCAGCACCUGAGCAGCCAGUGCAUACCCAACCAGAUGAAGGUGCUCAAGAUGAAGGCAACACGGGUGUUCCACAUGGGGGAAUGUGGUGUCCAUCAUAAAGGGAAGAACUGUAAACCGGAGGAGAAAAAGAAGGAAAUGGACAAGCUAGUGACUGACAACAAGAAGCAUCUAUUCCCCAACACAGUGUCCAUAGGCAGUUACUCGGGCCUGCGACUUCGAGACCCAAAACCCAACGGGGGGUGGGGUGACCUCAGGGAUCAAAACUUGUGUCUUAGCUUUAUAAUAAAUACUACUGCUACAGUAGGCACAUAGCUGCAUGGCUUUUACAUUGCUACGUGGGUUGUGAACAUAGUUUUGUGACGUGUUCACAUAACUACGUGGUGUGUUAACAUAGUUGUGUUGGGUGUUCACAAGCUACCUGGUGUGCUAACAUAUGUGUGAUGUAUUCCAAAAGCUGGUGAUGUGCUCACAUAUCGUCUUGAAAUGGAUCUUUACAGUUGUCUAAGUAAUAAGGCUUAAUGUUUGUUGAUUUUUUAUGGUUAUUUUAGCAGUCAAAGUUGCGUAUCAAACUUAAAAGGAACAUAUCCAUUGUUAUUUUAAUAUGCUGUGUUCAAAUUGUAACUCAGGCUUGCUCCAUAGAACAAUUGAUGUAAGUUUGUAUUGUUGGAAAAUGAGGCCGGAAAGUUUGCUUUUAUAAGGAGUGAUUGAAAAGAAAGUGGGAAGAACUAUGAGUGCUUUACAACUUUGUUAGUGAAAAGUGAUUAUACGAUUUUAAAGCUACUUAUCAUUGAUUUCAUUGCAAUCUUUGUACAUUUACAUAGUGCCGAGUGUUUUCUUCAGAAAACAAUUUAUUACUUUUAGAUAUACUUUAACAAGAAAUCAAAAUUGCUUCAGACCAAAUAUUAAUUCUGUGUUUUUGCUAAAUAUGUUUGUAUAAUUGAAAUUAUUUUUGUGCAUAAUCUUAUAUCAAAUAUUUUGCCUUGUGUGAAAAGGCAUCAUUUUUAUGCCCCCGGUAGGGUGGCAUAUAGCAAUUGAACUGUCCGUCAGUCCGUCUGUCAGUUUGUCCGUCCGUCCAAAAACUUAAACAUUGCCCAUAACUUUUGCAAUAUUGAAGAUAGCAACUUGAUAUUUGGCAUGCCUGUGUAUAUCAUGAAGCUGCACAUUUUGAGUGGUGAAAGGUCAUCCUUCAAGGUCGAAGGUCAAAUAUAUGGCUUCAACGCGGCGCAGAAGGGGGCAUUGUGUUUCUGACAAACACAUCUCUUGUUGUUAGAGAGAAUAGGCUUUUAAUUUGUAUCUAUAUGUGCCAUUCAAUUCUCUUGUAAUAUUAUUUAUGUAUGAUAUUAUUUAUUUUAUAUAUUUUUAAUAUGUAAAGUCUAUGUCUAUGGGUACAUACAAUUCUAUAAAUGUAAUACAUAGAGCACAUUUCAUAACUUCAUACAUGUAAAUGAUCAGGCUAUGUGUGUUGUGAUAGGAAAGGUACAUUAGCUUUCAGUAAAUGGUUCUAAAAGCCUGUGAGUAAAUUGUCUGCCGAGAUCAUCCUUGCAGUCUAUGCAUAAGUCAACUAUGGCAGUGACUGCCUACAAACAGUUUGCAAUACUAACUUGAUAAUGAAAUAAUAACCUUUAAAUGAGCAGCUUGGACUCAUCUGUAAGGACUGCCCAGUUUUAUCUUCAACAACACUUUACCCACAUUCAUAGAGCCCUAUUACCUAUCCUAUCUUAUUUUGUUAAAUCAUUUGUAUUUGUUUGCAGGACAUUUCCUAUUCAUGGAAUUCAAAUUUUGGCCCAAAACCCCACUACAAACAAUUACAAACUAAUUAUUUGUAGGAAUCUUAAAUUUAUGAAUUGGUCAAUCCAUGAAAUCAUGGAAAAUUCAUGUCCCACAUAGAUAAAGAUUUUAUAGUAAUAUCACGUUUUAAAUGUUUAAGAUAUUUACUGGGGAAUUUGCCUUCAUGUUGUAUUUGCUUACGAUUAUCUAACAACUAACUCAUCUUACAUUAUUUCAACUUUCAUAAAAGCACAAAUUGUAGUUUUACUAUUAUGAACUUUCAGUAAUUAAAUACUGUAAAACCAAAUGAACCAUGUUGUCUAUGUAUAGAGUCUAGAAUAUGUCAAACAAAUCUUUGUUACUUUAUUAGUUUAUUUAUAAACACAUUCAAUAACAUCAGACAAUUGUUUGUUUCGUUUCGGUUUAGUAUUGGUUGUUUUUGUUUUUUAGUCAGUUUGUAUUAGCUUAUUAUCUAGUCAACCAUAAAAGUGUUAAUUAAGUUCGCUGUUGCUUCAUUUGUACAACUGCAUGAAUGCAAAAUUGUCCAUAUUAAUAUGAUGUUGAGUGGUAAUUUUUAACCAGGUUUUCCGAAGGAAAAAACUGGUUAUUAGAUUGGCGAAUGCGGGCGGGCUGGCUGGCUGGCUGGCUGGCGGGCUGGCUGGCGGGCUGGCGGAACAAGCUUGUCCGGGCCAUAACUAUGUCGUUCAUUGUCAGAUUUUAAAAUCAUUUGGCACAUUUGUUCACCAUCAUUGGACGGUGUGUCGCGCGAAAUAAUUACGUCGAUAUCUCCAAGGUCAAGGUCACACUUUGAGUUCAAAGGUCAAAAAUGGCCAUAAAUGAGCUUGUCCUGGCCAUAACUAUGUCAUUCAUUGUGAGAUUUUAAAAUCAUUUGGCACAUUUGUUCACCAUCAUGGGACGGUGUGUCGCACGAAAGAAUCACGUCAAUAUCUCCAAUGUCAAGGUCGCCAGGACUAAAAAUAUUAUUUUUUUUAAACAAACUUACAAAGGGGUUAAUUUUGUUUGUUCAUUUCAAAAGUUCAGUUUGAGUUUUCUCCCUUUAUCAGAUUUUUUUUUCACAAUGAAAACCUGGUUUUGUGACAAUUUUGUCCCUUGUUUUUCAUGGUUCGUUAAAAAAGGCCCCUGCUUUCAUUUAAUACUUUAUAGCUUUGAUGGCUUAAUAUCUCACAACUGUUAUGUCUUUAUAUUGGCUUGCCUCUACUAAACUGAAAUCAAGGUGAGUGUCAUGUUAUUUCAUGAGGUAAAAUGUUUAUACCUUUUGAACAUAUUUUCCAUCUGUUAAGUAAUUUAUUUUAAAAAUGACUGCAAUAAUUGGUGUAUAUUGCUGUUAAAUGUUAGAUUUUAAUUAUCCUCAGCUUUAAGGAUUCAUUCAUAUACAUUAGUUUUAGUUGUAUGUAUGUUUACAGUUUAGUUGUCAAAAAUGUGUAUGUAAUGUCAAUGAUGAUUACCACAAAGUGCACACAUACUAUACAUGAUCCUUUGGUAUGAGUGGGUAUCAUUAAUAUGUAAGUUAUAACAUAAUAUUUAUACUAUGUAAAUAUGUUUUUUCCAGCAAAAACAUACAUUGAUGCUGGAGUCUUUGUAAAAGAAACAAGUUUCAGUAACUAUAAAUAUGAUGCUUUAAAUGUAACAAUCUUGACAUCAAAUCUGCCCAAUAAACAAUUCAGUGUUAUUUAAAGAUGCAUUUUUUAUUUGGAUGUUGCUUUACUUUUUGUGUGUAUAUAUUUUUUUCAACAGUGCAUGUGUGAUGUGAACUUUUUAUGCCCAUGAAGGAGGGCAUAUAGUGAUCCGACUGUCCGUCCGUCUGUCUGUCCAUCACACUUUUGCGUUUAGGUUUCAAAAAAUGCUCAUAACUUCUAUGUUGCUACAAUCGUAACCUUCAUAUUUGGUAUGCAUGUGUAUAUGGACAGGCCUUUCCAUAUGCACACAAAUGUUGACCCCUUUGACGUUGACCUUGAACUAAGGGUCCUAGUUUAGGUUUCGAAAUCUGCGUUUAGGUUUCGAAAAAGCGUUUCUCGGGGGCAUAUGUCUUCCGAUGGAGACAGCUCUUGUUAUUAAUAACAAUACAUGUAGAUACAUUGAUACAUAUUCAUUAUAAAGAGUGUGCAUUAGGAGAUCACCUAACAUACAAAAAAUUCAUCAUUCACUUUGAAAGAAAACACGAAAGCCUAAAGUAGAUAUAUGUUAAUAAAAUCAAUAAAAAGAAGAAUUAACAUUAUUGCCAUUGAAUGCAAUAUUCUUCAUAACAGACUUAUGUUUUUGUAUAACUUUAACACUAUAUACUGUGCGUAAAACAGUAUUUUUUAGCAGUUAGAUUCUCAGAGACUGUGUUUUUCAGAUAUGCAGUUGGUGUGUACAAUUUAAAAAAUAAUUGUUAAUGUGUUCUGGCAGAUUCCAAAUUGACAUGAUACAGUUUACUGUAAGGAAGUUUAACUAAAAUGUUGUCUUGCUAAUUUUAUCAUAAUGCUGUUUAAAUACAUGUAAUAGUUACAGUUUACAUGACACAGUUUACUGUUUGGGAGUUUUAACUGGCUAUUUCAUUAUAAUAUUAUGUAAUAUUUUUAUAUUGGAGGAUGUUAAAACAAUUGUUCAAUGAAACAAUUUAAUAAAGAGUUGAAA